ACCAGACUCCUACGGGAGGCAGCAGUGGGGGAUAUUGCACAAUGGGGGGAACCCUGAUGCAGCGACGCCGCGUGGGUGAAGAAGCGCCUCGGCGCGUAAAGCCCUGUCAGCAGGGAAGAAAAUGACGGUACCUGAAGAAGAAGCCCCGGCUAACUACGUGCCAGCAGCCGCGGUAAUACGUAGGGGGCAAGCGUUAUCCGGAUUUACUGGGUGUAAAGGGGGCGCAGACGGCGAUGCAAGCCAGGAGUGAAAGCCCGGGGCCCAACCCCGGGACUGCUCUUGGAACUGCGUGGCUGGAGUGCAGGAGGGGCAGGCGGAAUUCCUGGUGUAGCGGUGAAAUGCGUAGAUAUCAGGAGGAACACCGGUGGCGAAGGCGGCCUGCUGGACUGCAACUGACGUUGAGGCCCGAAAGCGUGGGGAGCAAACAGGAUUAGAUACCCGCGUAGC
rnacentral:rRNA from 1 species